GUUUUAUUAUCCCUGCUUUAACAGAGGGAGGACUUGAAUCUCGAGUUAAAGUAAUUUGCUCAGGAUUGUAAGGUCUUUUGUGAAGACUUUGAAGUUGCAGGUUCAUUCUGCCGCCAUAUACGUAACAUUCUAAGGGUUUCACUGGUGCCUUGAGAACCUUUGACACCUGUUUGCAGCUCGAAAGUCCAUGGAGCACCUUUAUGACCAAUAAAAGAGAAGGACCAAUGUAUAAAUAUUUUUUUCUUCUCUGAGGAUGGGCAAUUCUGAGAUGCAUUGCAUAAAGCAUCAAGUUAAUAUUUAAUCAGUUGAAGUAUAAGAUAUUGCAACUCCCACAUACCUGGCUUAAGGCAGGAUACAAAGGCAUAGAAUAGAAAUUGAAUCUGAGAACAUCCAAAAAGAUGUCAUGAGUCUCAUUGUUUUAUGGACUCUGGCCAUAAAACAAUGAGACUCGUGAAGGUAUAAAAAUCAUGAAUAAUUUUCAUAAUUCUCCUUCUCCAAGGCCCCAAAUAAAUCCUUUCACUUCCUGAAGGAACCAAUUGACUUUUUCUUUUUCUCAAGAUUGUCAAGAGAGAUUUUUAUCCUCCCAGACUUGAAUGUCUUCUGAUUAGAGAAAUAUCUGCCCAAAAAACGUCAAAAAAGGAGAAAAAGAAGAACCUAAGGAACAUGAACGUGUCAUAGAAAUUUCUCUGGGUGGUAACCCAGCCUCAAACGGACCAACUGUGUGCAAAGCUGUUCCCCAUUUUCCUAAAGGAACAAUGCUGCUCUUAAUAGUACUUAUUUUUCAGGGGGCCCAAUUUCAGAUAUGUUGGUUUUGGCAGGCUUCUGCUAAAGCUGUAUUUUUUUCCUACUGAAUUACAGUAAGAACUAAGUAUUAGAGGCUGUAAUUAAAGGUUGGUGAGGCAAAACUGGAAAUGUGCUCAAUGGGCUGCACUCAGAUCCAACUGAUCCGGAUACAUCAAAAUAUUGGUCAAAACUCCCCAUUUAUGAAUCAGCUCAGUUCUGGACUGAAGAGAAGCUUUUGAGACCCUCUGGAUGCUUUCUCCCAGGUUCUCUGUUAUGGGUUGAAUUGUCAUAGGUCUUCAUAAAGGUUAUUAAGUUAUAAUAAGGCCAAAUGGUUGAGGCCCUAAUUCAGUAUGUCUAGUAUUGCUAGACAUAAGAACAAAAGACACCAGGAUGUGCACAUACGGAGGAAGGGCCAUGUGAAGACACAGGAAGAAGCCGUCAUCUGCGAGCCAAGGAGAGAUGCCCCAAGAGGAACCAAACCUAAUGACACUAUGAUCAUGGACUUCUAGUCUUCGAACUGUGAAACAAUCAAUCUCUGUUUUUUCAGCCACCCAGUCUGUGGUAUUUUGUUCUGGCAGCCCUAGCUGACUUGGAUAGUCUCCCAUGGUGAAGGUGCCCUGUGGGCCAGGCAGAGAUUCUUGUUCCCAGAGCAUGGCACGGCCUUUCCUGUCUACUGGCUUUUGCAUGUGAUACUCAUGUCAGUAGGAUACCCUCCUUUAUUUCUUCACAUAUCCAAAUCCUACUGUCUUUCCAUGGAAAGGGAAAGCCCCUACACUACUGGUAAACUGCAACAGGGUCUCCCUAUGUUGCCCAGGCUGACCUCAAACUCCUGACCUCAAAUGAUCCUCCUGCCUGAGCCUCCCAAGAUGCUGGGAUUACAGGAAACAAAUAUACAUCAAGUUAUCAGCAAAGAUAGCAGCUGCUUGGUUUGCUUAUGAAGUUUUUGUUUUGCUUUGUUUUUGCCUUCCUUGAUAUAAUUUUUCUGCAAUAAACAUUUGUUGCUUUAAGAAAAGUAGUUCUCCUUUCCAAAAAAUAGAAAAAGAUUUUCUGUCUUUCAAGUCCAACUUUAUUCAUUACUACAUUUUUAAACAAAUAUUAUUUAGAGUCUGCUACGUAUCAGACACUCUUCUAGGUACUUGGCUACCUACGUCAGUGAGAUAAAGAUGCCACUGUAGUAUACUUUACAUUCUAACAGAGGAA